rnacentral:rRNA from 1 species
GUCGCCUCCUAAAAGGUAACGGAGGCGCUCAAAGGUUCCCUCAGAAUGGUUGGAAAUCAUUCAUAGAGUGUAAAGGCAUAAGGGAGCUUGACUGCGAGACCUACAAGUCGAGCAGGGUCGAAAGACGGACUUAGUGAUCCGGUGGUUCCGCAUGGAAGGGCCAUCGCUCAACGGAUAAAAGCUACCCCGGGGAUAACAGGCUUAUCUCCCCCAAGAGUUCACAUCGACGGGGAGGUUUGGCACCUCGAUGUCGGCUCAUCGCAUCCUGGGGCUGUAGUCGGUCCCAAGGGUUGGGCUGUUCGCCCAUUAAAGCGGUACGCGAGCUGGGUUCAGAACGUCGUGAGACAGUUCGGUCCCUAUCCGUCGUGGGCGUAGGAAAUUUGAGAGGAGCUGUCCUUAGUACGAGAGGACCGGGAUGGACAUACCUCUGGUGUACCAGUUGUCGUGCCAACGGCAUAGCUGGGUAGCUAUGUGUGGACGGGAUAAGUGCUGAAAGCAUCUAAGCAUGAAGCCCCCCUCAAGAUGAGAUUUCCCAACUUCGGUUAUAAGAUCCCUCAAAGAUGAUGAGGUUAAUAGGUUCGAGGUGGAAGCAUGGUGACAUGUGGAGCUGACGA